UUAGGGGCAAAUCUAAAAUAAGCAGAACAGGUAAUCGUGGGUCAAGCACCUGCUUCGAUUUUGCAGAUCUUUCUCUCACAUCGAGGUCGCAUCAAGCGCGCUGCUCGUGUCUCUGCGGUUCUUCCGCUUCCCACAACAGCGACCCCUUCGUCUAAUCCUUGGAGGGAAAUCGAAUUAACAAAAUCGAACUACGGUGGAGAGGAGACCAAAGGAAAAGCGCUUACUUUGUCGAUUGGUUUGCGUCUUCUCUUCUUCUAAUUUUGCUCAUCUUUCCUGAUCGCCUUCUUGCUUAGCUGAUAUCGGCGAAGGAGCCGCGCAUCUUUUCAUCAUGUCCAACUCUUUUUUCAUGAAAAUAUUGUUUGCUAUUGCUGUCUGGUGCAUAGCAUAUGUUGCUGCUGCCUUUGUGGUCUUAUUUAGAUUCUUCGCUGGCCAUGGUUCUACCAUCAUGAACUAGUCGAGCAAUCUGAGCGAGAACCGCAGUACUUUGGUGACUUGCAAAUUGCAAUGGCAAGGUGAUACUUUUUUUUCUUCAUGUUGGUAUCACUCAAGUGGAUAUUAGUGCUUGAUCCUCGGUUCUUUUCCUUCUUACUAGGCGUUAUAAAUAGUCUUAAUUUGUAUCUCCCAAUAGUAAUAAUAAUAACGAUAAUGUAUCACUAAUGGUUCACCCCCUUCCCUGAUUCAGGGUUUAUACUGUUUUCUUUUCUUGGAAUUUAUACUAGAAUAUAUUCAUGUUUACUUUGGGUUA